rnacentral:rRNA from 1 species
AGCGAACGCUGGCGGCAGGCCUAACACAUGCAAGUCGAACGAACUCUUCGGAGUUAGUGGCGGACGGGUGAGUAACACGUGGGAACGUGCCUUUUGGUUCGGAAUAACCCAGGGAAACUUGUGCUAAUACCGAAUGUGCCCUUCGGGGGAAAGAUUUAUCGCCAUUAGAGCGGCCCGCGUCUGAUUAGCUAGUUGGUGAGGUAACGGCCUACCAAGGCGACGAUCAGUAGCUGGUCUGAGAGGAUGACCAGCCACACUGGGACUGAGACACGGCCCAGACUCCUACGGGAGGCAGCAGUGGGGAAUCUUGCGCAAUGGGCGAAAGCCUGACGCAGCCAUGCCGCGUGAAUGAUGAAGGUCUUAGGAUUGUAAAAUUCUUUCACCGGGGACGAUAAUGACGGUACCCGGAGAAGAAGCCCCGGCUAACUUCGUG